rnacentral:rRNA from 1 species
UACGUAGGGUGCGAGCGUUGUCCGGAAUUACUGGGCGUAAAGAGCUCGUAGGUGGUUUGUCGCGUUGUUCGUGAAAACUCACAACUCAAUUGUGGGCGUGCGGGCGAUACGGGCAGACUGGAGUACUGCAGGGGAGACUGGAAUUCCUGGUGUAGCGGUGGAAUGCGCAGAUAUCAGGAGGAACACCGGUGGCGAAGGCGGGUCUCUGGGCAGUGAUCCUGACGCUGAGGAGCGAAAGUG